CGAGCUUCCGUUGAAUGACGUGCUUGCACUGAUUUCAACAAUGAAGCGAGUGGCGAACUGGUGAGUAACACGUGGGAAAUCUGCCCAGAAGCAGGGGAUAACACUUGGAAACAGGUGCUAAUACCGUAUAACAACAAAAUCCGCAUGGAUUUUGUUUGAAAGGUGGCUUCGGCUAUCACUUCUGGAUGAUCCCGCGGCGUAUUAGUUAGUUGGUGAGGUAAAGGCCCACCAAGACGAUGAUACGUAGCCGACCUGAGAGGGUAAUCGGCCACAUUGGGACUGAGACACGGCCCAAACUCCUACGGGAGGCAGCAGUAGGGAAUCUUCCACAAUGGACGAAAGUCUGAUGGAGCAAUGCCGCGUGAGUGAAGAAGGGUUUCGGCUCGUAAAACUCUGUUGUUAAAGAAGAACACCUUUGAGAGUAACUGUUCAAGGGUUGACGGUAUUUAACCAGAAAGCCACGGCUAACUACGUGCCAGCAGCCGCGGUAAUACGUAGGUGGCAAGCGUUGUCCGGAUUUAUUGGGCGUAAAGCGAGCGCAGGCGGUUUUUUAAGUCUGAUGUGAAAGCCUUCGGCUUAACCGGAGAAGUGCAUCGGAAACUGGGAGACUUGAGUGCAGAAGAGGACAGUGGAACUCCAUGUGUAGCGGUGGAAUGCGUAGAUAUAUGGAAGAACACCAGUGGCGAAGGCGGCUGUCUAGUCUGUAACUGACGCUGAGGCUCGAAAGCAUGGGUAGCGAACAGGAUUAGAUACCCUGGUAGUCCAUGCCGUAAACGAUGAGUGCUAAGUGUUGGAGGGUUUCCGCCCUUCAGUGCUGCAGCUAACGCAUUAAGCACUCCGCCUGGGGAGUACGACCGCAAGGUUGAAACUCAAAGGAAUUGACGGGGGCCCGCACAAGCGGUGGAGCAUGUGGUUUAAUUCGAAGCUACGCGAAGAACCUUACCAGGUCUUGACAUCUUCUGCCAAUCUUAGAGAUAAGACGUUCCCUUCGGGGACAGAAUGACAGGUGGUGCAUGGUUGUCGUCAGCUCGUGUCGUGAGAUGUUGGGUUAAGUCCCGCAACGAGCGCAACCC
rnacentral:rRNA from 1 species